CCAUCACCACCGCUCAUUGCUGAACCCAAUUGUUGGCCUGGCAAGAGAGCCAUGGGCGCAGGAAAAUUCAUAAAAUGCAAUCCACCAGACAUAGAACCCCUAUACAUAUUGGUACUAGCACUAAAAUAUGGAAAUGUCACCAUGGGGUCACCGGUUAUCACUUGGUUACUGCUGCUAGGAUUAUUAGACGCCAUCCAAAAUGUUGACGGGAUCGGGCUAUGAGUCGUCGGAAUUGCCCCUGUACUAGUUGAUUGCAUCAAAUAGCUCCCCAUCUGAUGACCUAAUUCAUGUUCCGGCCUCCGCUUGCUCCCUAGACUAGUCUCCCCAUCGGUGACAUCUAGACAAGAAGUGUCGCCGCCUCCGCGUACUUCUUGUUUAUUAGCAGCUGAUCCUUGUAAAGCAACAGCGGUAUUCAAAUUCCCACCUACAUUAUUAGUUGAAUUAAUAGAACUAAAGCUUAAUGAAUUGUCCGAAGGAAAAAGAAUUCUUCGCUGCUGCUGAGAAGCUUCAUCGACGACUAUGUUUCUUUCCAAUUCAUUCCUGAUGCGUAGCUGUUGAUGGACAGUGAAGUUGGGAUUCAAAUACGUGUUCCUUAGAUGGUGAGAGGCGGAGAUGGAAGACCC
rnacentral:misc_RNA from 1 species